GAUGAAGAACGUAGUGAAAUGCGAUAAGUAGUGUGAAUUGCAGAAUUCAGUGAAUCAUCGAAUCUUUGAACGCACAUUGCGCCCCUUGGUAUUCCAUGGGGCAUGCCUGUUCGAGCGUCAUUUACACCCUCAAGCUCUGCUUGGUGUUGGGCGUCUGUCCCGCUGCUUUGCGCGGACUCGCCUCAAAGGUAUUGGCAGCGAUCAUGCCAGCUUCUCGCGCAGCACAUUGCGCUUCUUGAAGUUCUGGUGGAUCAGCGUCCAUUAAGCUUACCUUCAUGACUUGACCUCGGAUCAGGUAGGGAUACCCGCUGAACUUAAGCAAAUCAAUAAGCGGAGGA
rnacentral:misc_RNA from 1 species